CCUGAACGCUGGCGGCGUGGCUAAGACAUGCAAGUCGCACGGACCCGCAAGGGUUAGUGGCGAACGGGUGAGUAAUGAAUCGCUAAUGUACCCCGGACUCUGGGAUAGCCGGCCGAAAGGCCGGGUAAUACCAGAUGACAUGACCGAACCGCAUGGUUUGGUCCUCAAAGGUCCGCCGGUCUGGGAGCAGGCGAUUUCGUAUCAGCUAGUUGGUGAGGUAACGGCUCACCAAGGCGACGACGCGUAGCCGGACUGAGAGGUUGGCCGGCCACAUUGG
rnacentral:rRNA from 1 species